CUUCCAGCAUCGCGUCUUGCUGUCUCUGAUGGCGUACGUCAGUCGUUUCCGUUCAGUCUUGUACUCGGCCUGAAGGAUUUGACGAGAUUAAGACUGUCUUAUAAUUAUUAAUUAUUGAAUUUAAUUUUUGAGUUAAAAAGCUUAAAUUUUAUUAGAGGACGAGAAGACCCUAUAGAGUUUUAUAAUUAAAUUUAUUUUAUUAAUAAAUUUAUUUUUAUGAAAUAAAUAUAAUUAUUUUGUUGGGGUGAUAAUUAAAUUUAAUAAACUUUUUAUUUUUUUUUUACAUUAAUUAAUGAAUUUUUGAUCCUAUAUUUUAGAUUAUUAGAUUAAAUUACCUUAGGGAUAACAGCGUUAUUUUUUUUAAAGUUCUUAUUGACAUAAAAAAUUGCGACCUCGAUGUUGGAUUAAAAUUUAUUUUGGGUGUAGAAGCUUGAAAAUUUAGGUCUGUUCGACCUUUAAAAUUUUACAUGAUCUGAGUUCAAACCGGUUUAAGCCAGGUUGGUUUCUAUCCU